GGGUAGCCUAAGGGGUUGGUUGUUAUCUUUGGUUAUCUAGCUGUAUGAGUGGUGUACAUUCUUCAUAAAGCUAGAUAACCGAAAGUAACAAGAAUCCCAUUACACUCC
ensembl:miRNA dre-mir-9-1 microRNA 9-1